CCAAUCUUAUUAAGGGGAAGGCCAAUUCAGGCAGCAGCCUCCCCACACUCCCAACCAUACCCCACUGAAUCAGCCACCGCUGGAGCCUUGGUCCCACCUGCACCUGGAGGGGAUGAGUGUCUGGGCUUCUAGCUAGAUGGCUUUGUACUCUGGACUGUAGUUCCUGGUGGCACAUCCCAAGGCCCACCACCAUCCACCAAAGCUCCAAAGACCUCACAUCAGCCUCCCCACAGUCCCAACCACACACCCCUGCAUCAGCAACCACCAGAACCGUGGCCCCACCUGUACCUGGAGGAGACCUAAAGCAAGUUCAUCCUUAUAGCAUGAAAAAAAGCAACUGAAAACUCUCAAUUUAAAUGGCACCAUACUUGGUGGAGAAGAAAGACAGAAUGGUGAAGAAGAUAACAAUGUUGUUGAUGUGAAAAGAUGAGGGAGGACAAAUGAAUGAGAUUAUUAAUGUUAAAGGAAGAUGAAUAAGAAAGAUAUGAAAUUACUGCUUUGAUGUCAGUCAAGACAACACUCUUGCUUUAAAGUCCUAGGUGACAGUCCACUGUGGUGCAGUCAAGGUGGAAGGAACUGGAAGCAGCAGGUUGUAUCACACCCACAGUUGAGGAACAGGCAGUCUUGAGAAGAAUCAGAAGCACACCUGUUCAGAACAGAAACUGGCUGCAGUUUCAGGCAACUAUAAUCCCAGCACUCUGGAAGUAGAGCUGAAGUACAAGGAGUUCAAGGCCGUCUGGGGACCCAUGGACUGACUCAAAAGAUUCAAACCAAACAAAGUAGAUUAAGAACAUGAAAUAAAAUACUACAGACAAAACUUUUUAAGUGUGUAUUAUAUGUUAAAAGUCCUAAUAUGCUUUAAAUUUCU